CCUACGGGUGGCAGCAGUGAGGAAUAUUGGUCAAUGGACGAGAGUCGGAACCAGCCAAGUAGCGUGAAGGAUGACUGCCCGAUGGGUUGUAAACUUCUUGUAUAUGGGAAUAAAAUGUUCCACGUGUGGGAUUUUGUAUGUACCAUAUGACUAAGGAUCGGCUAACUACGUGCCAGCAGCCGCGGUAAUACGGAGGGUCAGAGCGUUAUCCGGAUGUAUGGGGGUUAAAGGGAGCGUAGGUGGAUUGUUAAGCCAGUUGUUAAAGUUUGCGGCUCAACCGUAAAAUUGCAGUUGAAACUGGCAGUCUUGAUUACAGUAGAGGUGAGCGGAAUUCGUGGUGUAGCGGUGAAAGGCUUAGAUAUCACGAAGAACUCCGAUUGCGAAGGCAGCUCACUGGACUGCAACUGACACUGAGGCUCGAAAGUGUGGGUAUCAAACAGGAUUAGAUACCCGAGUAGUC
rnacentral:rRNA from 1 species